rnacentral:rRNA from 1 species
AUGCAGCUCGUACGGUGAAGCCAAGCUUGCUUGGUGGAUCAGUGGCGAACGGGUGAGUAACACGUGAGCAACCUGCCCUGGACUCUGGGAUAAGCGCUGGAAACGGCGUCUAAUACUGGAUAUGAGACGUGAUCGCAUGGUCGUGUUUGGAAAGAUUUUUCGGUCUGGGAUGGGCUCGCGGCCUAUCAGCUUGUUGGUGAGGUAAUGGCUCACCAAGGCGUCGACGGGUAGCCGGCCUGAGAGGGUGACCGGCCACACUGGGACUGAGACACGGCCCAGACUCCUACGGGAGGCAGCAGUGGGGAAUAUUGCACAAUGGGCGGAAGCCUGAUGCAGCAACGCCGCGUGAGGGAUGACGGCCUUCGGGUUGUAAACCUCUUUUAGCAGGGAAGAAGCGAAAGUGACGGUACCUGCAGAAAAAGCGCCGGCUAACUACGUGCCAGCAGCCGCGGUAAUACGUAGGGCGCAAGCGUUAUCCGGAAUUAUUGGGCGUAAAGAGCUCGUAGGCGGUUUGUCGCGUCUGCUGUGAAAUCCCGAGGCUCAACCUCGGGCCUGCAGUGGGUACGGGCAGACUAGAGUGCGGUAGGGGAGAUUGGAAUUCCUGGUGUAGCGGUGGAAUGCGCAGAUAUCAGGAGGAACACCGAUGGCGAAGGCAGAUCUCUGGGCCGUAACUGACGCUGAGGAGCGAAAGGGUGGGGAGCAAACAGGCUUAGAUACCCUGGUAGUCCACCCCGUAAACGUUGGGAACUAGUUGUGGGGACCAUUCCACGGUUUCCGUGACGCAGCUAACGCAUUAAGUUCCCCGCCUGGGGAGUACGGCCGCAAGGCUAAAACUCAAAGGAAUUGACGGGGACCCGCACAAGCGGCGGAGCAUGCGGAUUAAUUCGAUGCAACGCGAAGAACCUUACCAAGGCUUGACAUAUACGAGAACGGGCCAGAAUGGUCAACUCUUUGGACACUCGUAAAC